AAAAGACCAUAGAUUGUUUAAUUAGCCAAAGGCCUAGAAGAAGAGGAAUAUUUUUGCCUGGCACCUAAAAUAUGUAACAGAAGCACCAGGCAUGCCUCCCUGAGGAGAGCAUUCCACAAGAUACGCCAGUCCUAGGUUCUGUUGGUCGAGGGCAGGUGUGCUACUGUAUAUACUGACCCGCACGUUGCAAACUGGUAUUAGUGGUGGCUGUUUUUGUUGGUCUAUAAUCUGUGAUGGUAAAAUAAGUUCACAACUUUGCUUUCUUUUUUAAAAGAUAAUUGAAAGCAAGAGAUAGCUAUGAUGGCGCAGUAAUGAUAUCUCACUUGAGACUACAUUAACUACAGGGGUAGCAAGCUGACGUGGAUUCUCCAGAAUUCACUAGAUGGAAAUACUAAGACGGUGAUUAUCUGCACAGUCCCUCAGACAUCCUUGGAAGAAACUCUUAGCACUCUCCAGUUUGCUACAAUAGCAAAAAAUGUGGAAAAUCUGAAGAGAGAUCGUUUACAAAUAGCAGACUUGAAACGAAGUCUAGAAGAAUCCCAGCUGGCACAGAUCCUUGAAGAGGAGAAGGCUCUUGAAAACGAGGAGCAGGAGAAAAUAUGGAUUGUCACCGAGAUGCUGGUGACACCAUCUGCUUCUUCUGCAUCAGCAGAGGAGUUCAAGUUAAUAUUUAAAAAUUUAAAUGUUGUGGGACCUUUGGUGGAAAACUGGUGGCUCUUCCACAUUUCUUGUCUCAGCUGUUAAGUAAUCAAAUUGGGUGAAGGACGCCUGGGAAUGGCUAGAAGGGUGCCACUGUAGAAAGGGACCUUCUGAUGUGUAGAAGCUUAACCUAGCUCUGUUGAGGCAUGCUUGAAGCAGGAAGUUCAUCCCAGGAAGCUGGCAUAUCUCCAGUGAGCUGCUGCUGGUGGCCUUGCAUGUAUAAUCAAUCAGAGCACUAUUGUUUAGUCUUAGCCAAAUGCCUUGAAUUCUUUGGUCAGUUUGUCAGUUUUAAUGUAAUGCUGCGUCACACCUAAUACUAAUUAUUCAAGUACUUAUUAUUCAUUUUAACUCUUGAAAUUUUAAAUCCUCAAUUUUUAUAAUAUUGGUCUUGGUGUUGUUUACUAUUAAACUGGCUUGUUGUUUUUUAUAUAUUGCUUUGACACCUCUACAGAAUUUUUCUCCAAGAGCUGAUAGUUCUAUCGUUUUUUGCAGAAAGGCCCAAGAUCAAAGGUUUUUUCGGCGUCUAUUAGCAUAAAUGCUACUUUUUUGCUAGGUCUUUAUUCCAAAUAUUCAAUUAAAUCAAUAACCACUCUAGUGUUUGUUUUCAUAUGUCUGUUUGGUAGAAAGCCCGAUUGAUCAUAAUUAAUAGUAUCUUUUAGUAUUAAUUUGAGUCUGCUGGCCAGGAUGCCCGCAAAUAAUUUAUAAUUGUUGUUUAAUAGUGAGAUGGGUCUGUAGUUACUUACUGGUGUUCCUUGAUUAUGAAUUUAUACAAUAUUUGCUUCUUGCCAUGACAUUGGAAUUUUACCUUCUUCCAAUAUUUUAUUCAUUAGAUUUUUUUAAAGGCAAGACUAUGUUAUCUUCCAGGAAUAAGGAGAGAUUCAUUCUUCCCCAUAUUUCUAGAUUCCUUUUUAUCAUUCCAACAUUUUUCAUAAUUAUCUUUAUGAAUAUUAAUAUUUUGAUCUUCUUUAAAUGAUUUUGUCAGCCACUCUGAAAGGUGUAAAAAGAAAAGAUGGCCUAGGAUUAUUUACACACCCACUUUGUCUUACCUCUUUUUUCUGUUUCCCUUUCAAGAGCCUCAAACCAAAAGUGGGUAUGUCCUUCCAGAUCUAAUAAAUCAGUAUUUUCUAAUUUGACCCGAUCCUGUAUCCAAGUAAUGCAGCUUGCCUCAUAGAAAAAUUCUCAGUCUGGAAGACAGCCAUUUUUUCAUAUGUGGUGGAAUUGUAAAAUAAUUAUAAAGUAUUGGGAUAUGAUUUAUAAUGAAAUGAAAAAAAUGUUCAAGUUAACCUUUGUUAAAAGUUCAGUAGCAUUUUUAUUAGAUAUUGUAGGGAAAUAUUUACCAAAAUAUAAGAAUCUAUUUAUGUAUGCGACAACAGCGGCCAGAAUUCUACUACCUCAAAGAUGGAAAAGCAACAACAUACCAACGAAAGGACAUUGGCAAGAAAAGUUGAUGGAAUACGCUGAAAUGGCAAAGUUAACUGAGAGACUCAAAGAUAAGGACAAUAAUGACUUUUAAAAGAUUGGGAACCUUUUAUGAUAUAUAUACAGAAACAAUGCACUGAAAUAAACUAAUUUGCAGGAUUCGAGUAAUACACUUACAAUGGACAUAUAUUAAUAUGAGGUAAAAAUGUUAAGAAUAAAUAAUAAUACAAUUUUAAUUUCAGUAUAUAAGGCAUCAAAACUAUAAGCAGAAGAAACAAAUAUGCUAUAAACCAGAAAGGGAAGUUGGGGGAAGUCACUGUGGGAGGGGGGCGUUAAUUGAAAUUGAAAAAUGUAUGGUAAUUUGAUUUUUUGAUUAUGUUAAAAUUUGUAAUCUUAAUAAAAAAAAUUAAAAAUGAUUGCCAAGCGAUCCAAGAUCAAGUCCUUUGUGAAGGUCUACAAUUUGCACCAAUAAAUAUUUUUAAAGCCCCUCCCCCCAAAAAACUGUUCGUGGUUUUUAUACUUUAUGUGUAAAUACUUAUUUUUAAGGUGAUUUUAAAAGAUGAAAUAAAUAAUAGACCUUUGCACAAAUA